AUAUUGACUGGACUCUCAUCCCGUAUUGAAUUUUUACCAGCAAAUUCUUAGCAGCUUGAAGCUUGCAUUCCCCGAAGACCAAAGGAAAAUGAAAAAUGAAAAUCAAAACACGGGCUUGAUGGGCUUCUGAUUUUUUUGCGCGCGUAACUUGGAUAAACGACAGCGUUUUAAUUGCCACAACUGGCAAGGCUACUAGGCUCGUCGCCGCCCAUUUUCUAUUUCCGUAAACUUUAGCAGUGCUGCUAUUGAGAGCUAAGCCGUCAACAAGUUCACUGAACCAUUCCACCACCAUGAGACACAUCCGUCACAAUCGUCAGCUUAUCUCGAGAACCACCGUUCGCCGCCACUACGCCACCAAAUAUACGGCCAAAAUCACCUCAACAUCCUCCACAGGCCGCAGCCUCUCCGCCGAAGUAACUCUACCUCUUCCCUCCGACCCUCGCGGUUACCCACUCCCCCGCCGUCAUCUUAUCUGUAAAGCUACCAAAAUCCUCCUCCAAUCCCACCGCAAUACCACCAGCCGUUCUCGCCUCUCCUCAUCUCGCCUACAAAUUGAACCAGAUCCUUUCCUUUCUCUCGAGGAAUACCUCUCCUCCCUCUCCAUCUCACUCACCCCAGCUGAAGCCUCCGAAAUUUUAAAAUCCCUGAAUAGCCCUUCCCUGGCUCUGAAAUUCUUCCACUUUUGCCCAUCUCUUUCCCCAGAUUUCCGCCACGAUGCCUUCACUUAUAGUCGCCUCAUCCUCAUAAUCUCGAAAUCUACUCUCCCCGAUAGAAUCAAUCUUGUUCGUUCUAUCGUUUCAGAGAUGGAGAAGAAUGGGGUACGCGGCACGAUAUCCACCGUGAAUAUAUUGAUCGGGUUUUUUGGGGACAGUGAAGACUUGAAGAAAUCUGUUGCGCUUAUGGAGAAAUGGGGUUUGAGAAUGAAUGGGUAUACUUACAAGUGUUUGGUUCAAGCUUAUUUGAGGUCACGUGACAGUGAGAAAGGGUUUAGGGUUUAUCUGGAGAUGAAGAGGAAAGGGUAUAAACUUGAUAUUUUUGCUUAUAAUAUGCUCUUGGAUGCUUUAGCCAAAGAUGAAAAGCAUAUUGACAGGUAGGCCAGGCUUACAAGGUUUUUGAAGACAUGAAAAGUAAGUAUUGUGAGCCUGAUGAGUAUACAUACACAAUCAUGAUCAGAAUGACUGGAAAGAUUGGUAAACCUGAUGAAUCUCUGGUGCUAUUUGAGGAAAUGUUAAACAAGGGUUGUUCUCCUAACUUAAUUGCUUAUAACACUAUGAUCCAAGCAUUGGCCAGCAGCCAAAUGGUUGACAAGACCAUUUUCCUUUUCUCAAAAAUGAUGGAAAAAGAUUGCCAGCCCAAUGAAUUCACAUUUAGUGUCAUACUCAAUCUCCUAGCUACUGAAGGGCAACUUCAUAAGCUAGAUACAGUCGUUGAAUUAUCAAGAAAGUACAUGAAUAGGUCAAUAUAUGCAUAUCUUGUGAGGACAUUAAGCAAAUUGGGGCAUUCAAGUGAGGCUCACAGAUUGUUUUGCAAAAUGUGGAGCUACCAUGAUAGAGGAGAUAGGGAUGCUUGCUUGUCAGUGUUAGAGAGUUUGUGUAGUGCUGGUAAAACUACAGAGGCCAUCGAUAUGCUGAGUAAAAUUCACGAGAAAGGAAUAACUACUGAUACAAUCAUGUAUAAUACAGUAUUCUCUGCCCUGGGCAGGUUAAAGCAAAUAUCCCAUCUUCAUGAUCUUUAUGAAAAGAUGAAACAAGAUGGCCCUUUGCCAGAUCUAUUCACCUACAAUAUUCUGAUCUCCAGCUUUGGUAGGGCAGGAAAAGUUCAUGAAGCUAUAGAAGCAUUUGAAGAACUUGAGAACAGUGAUUGCAAGCCUGACAUUAUAUCUUACAAUUCAAUGAUUAAUUGCCUUGGGAAGAAUGGUGAUCUUGAUGAAGCUCACAUGAGGUUCAAGGAAAUGCAAGAGAAGGGGUUCAAUCCCGAUGUUGUGACUUACAGCACGCUCAUUGAGUGUUUUGGCAAAACUGGUAAAGUUGAAAUGGCUUGCAGGUUGUUUGAUGAGAUGCUGGCUUCUGGCUGCUGCCCUAACAUUGUAACAUACAACAUCUUACUCGACUGUUUGGAGAGGAGUGGAAGAACUGCUGAAGCUGUGGAUUUGUAUGCUAAACUGAAACAGCAAGGAUUAACACCUGAUUCAAUCACAUACUCUGUGCUUGAACGGUUGCAAAGCGGUUCACAUGGAAAAGUCAGACUACGCAGGCAGAAUCCAAUCACAGGUUGGGUUGUUAGCCCAUUGCGGUGAUGGUGACUCGUUAUGUGUCACUGGCAAAAAGUUGAGCACAAGUUUUGGUCCUUUAUUGCUUUGCUACAGAGUAGAUGCCUUUUAUUAAUGACCUAUUACAUGAAAGCAUUGAUCCUCGAGAAAUAUUUACAAAAAAUAAGGUGUUGCAUUGCUUGCGGUGAGCUGAUAUUGAAAUCUCAUUAAAGAUCACAUCUUUGAUUGGGAAGAGGUUUGGGCAAUAACAUCCAAUUAUUUGCGAGGUUACAUUAGGUCAUUAUUGUUGUAUACUGAGACAUGUUGAGAAGCACUGAAUUGCUGGAUGUUGAUUCUGACGGGAUAUCAUGCUAGGCUAGGGGGAUUCCUUGAGAUGAAAUUGUUGGAACUUUUCUUCCAUCCAAUGUUGUGCGGAGUAGAAGUGAUUAGAACUAGGGAAAAGCUCAUAUUAAAGUAAGCAUUAACAUUAAUUUGACUCUUAAUUUAAUAAUUAUUUUUUUUUUUUGGUAAUAAUACAAGACAAG
rnacentral:misc_RNA from 1 species